rnacentral:rRNA from 1 species
GACGAAGGAUGCAGGCGUUAUCCGGAUUCAUUGGGUUUAAAGGGUGCGUAGGCGGACUGAUAAGUCAGUGGUGAAAUCUCUUUGCUUAACAAAGAAACUGCCAUUGAUACUGUCGGUCUAGAGUAUAGAUGACGUUGGCGGAAUAUGACAUGUAGUGGUGAAAUACUUAGAUAUGUCAUAGAACACCGAUUGCGAAGGCAGCUAACGAAACUAUAACUGACGCUGAGGCACGAAAGUGCGGGGAUCAAACAGG